AGUCACUGUAUCGUCUGGUCACAGAGGACUCCUUCUGCUUGAAAAUAGGAAGGUUCGUCUGAAUAAAGAUAAGAACAGCCGACACAGCAGGCUCGCUCCAUUCGCUCCAGAAGUCAGACUUCCCACAAGUUUUUUCUAUUCUGCUCCUCACUUGAAGCUCAUACCGGGAGCGGCUGGAGGGCAAGUUAAUGCAGUAAUUUUGCUUCCCCGGAAUGACCGACGAACCUCACUUUCCACACAAGAUGCAAAAGUCUGAUUCCAGUAAAACCACAGAUUUGAGUCGGCUCCAUUCUGAACAGUCAGGUUGGUUGGUGGAUUUAACUUAACUGCGUAGGUAACAUACAGUUAAAUAUUAUUUUAAUUUGGCGGAUGGGCAUUUUUUAAACUGGUGGCCAAUGACCGUCAAAGCUCAGAAAAGGGAGUACACCCCUCCUAUUUCAGCAGACAUUUUAUUAUUCAUUCAUUUCUACCGCUUUUUCCUCACGAGGGUCGCGGGGGGUGCUGGAGCCUAUCCCAGCUGUCUUUCGGAGAGAGGCGGGGUACACCCUGGACUGGUCGCCAGCCAAUCACAGGGCACAUAUAGACAA